GACGCUGCGUGGCACCUGUCACGGCGCGCCCCAUACUGCUGUAGUUUGCAUGUGGACCGUGUUGGUGCAAGAGAACAGGCAAACGGAAACACAAGCACCGAGCGAUUCUUCGCCCUCUACCUGUCCUGGGCAGACAGGCACUAUCGGCGGCAAGGGGCGCUUGUAGCAACUGGGUUUCUUUCGACAGCACGCGCCCGCAGCGCUACCACAAGCAAACUGGUGCAAUGUUGGCCACGCCGUCUUUGCCGCCGCUCUCAUCGUCCGGCAACCAGCAAGGCGCCUGGGCACGGCGCAUCCUCAAAUCGGAUGUCUACCCCUCUUCACUAGAGGCCAUCCGUGCACGGGUUGAGGCCCUGCGCGGUCGAUGGCGAGAUGGCGGGGCGGCACAUAUCGUCCCAAUUACGCGGGUCGUGUGCACCCCGCUUUAUCUGCGUUUGGAGGUGGAUGAAUCGCUGGCCCUAGAGCUGCUGGGGCCGCCGUGGGAGUACGAACGGCAUAGCGCGCCGAUGGGCGAACGUGACGCCGCUCUCUGUGUUUUGUCGGUUGCUCAGCUCCUGUCACGACUGCACGCAGUAGGCGUGGUGCAUGGACACCUGCAGGGAGGCGUAGUGUGGCACCACACAGGUGAUGCGCUACGUAUCGUUGUUACAGAGUGCGAACUGCCCAUCACCGCCCUUGUUCCCUAUGGAGGGGUAGGGAGUGAGGCGCGGCAGUGCGCCGCACCGGAGAUUCUGCGAGGAGACCCCUACGCUGGCGCGGCUGAUGUUUGGGGACUGGGUGUCCUCCUCGUCCAACUGCUCCUGGGGUCGUCGAAGCCGGUGUGCACGGCUGACCUCGAAAACUCUGAUCUGUUGUCGCCGUUUAUCUCCUCGUUGGGCCCAAGCGCUGCAAGUUUUGUGCUGCCGUGCGUGAAGAGUGACCCUCACGCUCGCCCGCUGCUGCUUCAGGUGCUGCAACAUCCAUUUCUAGCGUCGGCGCUGCCGGUGCAUGGAAACGAAGUCGGAGACGAGCAGAGAAACGAUUGCAGCAGCGAGGACAGCAACACCAGUGAAGGCGAGGAACUGGAGGAUAGCGACACCGACUCUACUUGAGCACCACGGAGGACCUCUUUCUCGCGUCAGCCGUCGUCUCCUUUUGAUUGUGUCUUCUCUACGCUUUCCCCGUGUUGUUACGGCGAUGAACUUGUAUCAGCUGAGCCCUCACCCCCUUCCCCAC
rnacentral:misc_RNA from 1 species